UGGGGAAUUUUCCGCAAUGGGCGAAAGCCUGACGGAGCAAUUCCGCGUGAGGGAGGAAGGCUUUUGGGUUGUAAACCUCUUUUCUCAAGGAAGAAGUUCUGACGGUACUUGAGGAAUCAGCAUCGGCUAACUCCGUGCCAGCAGCCGCGGUAAUACGGAGGAUGCAAGCGUUAUCCGGAAUCACUGGGCGUAAAGCGUCUGCAGGUGGUUUAAUAAGUCUGCUGUUAAAUAUUAGAGCUUAACUCUGAAAAAGCAGUGGAAACUGUUGAACUAGAGUAUGGUAUGGGUAGAGGGAAUUCCCAGUGUAGCGGUGAAAUGCGUAGAUAUUGGGAAGAACACCAGUGGCGAAAGCGCUCUGCUAGGCCAUUACUGACACUCAGAGACGAAAGCUAGGGGAGCAAAUGGGAUUAGAUACCCCGGUAGUCC
rnacentral:rRNA from 1 species